rnacentral:rRNA from 1 species
AUUGACGCCGCGUGCGGGAUGAAGGCCUUCGGGUUGUAAACCGCUUUCAGUAGGGAAGAAGCGAAGUGACGGUACCUACAAAAGAAGCACCGGCUAACUAUGUGCCAGCAGCCGCGGUAAUACAUAGGGUGCAAGCGUUGUCCGGAAUUAUUGGGCGUAAAGAGCUCGUAGGUUGUUCGUUACGUCGGAUGUGAAAAUCUGAGGCUCAACCUCAGACCUGCAUUCGAUACGGGCGAACUGGAGUGUGGUAGGGGAGACUGGAAUUCCUGGUGUAGCGGUGGAAUGCGCAGAUAUCAGGAGGAACACCAAUGGCGAAGGCAGGUCUCUGGGCCAUUACUGACACUGAGGAGCGAAAGUCUGGGGAGCGAACAGGAUUAGAUACCCUGGUAGUCCAGACCGUAAACGGUGGGCGCUAGUUGUGGGAACCUUCCACGGUUUCUGCGACGUAGCUAACGCAUUAAGCGCCCCGCCUGGGGAGUACGAUCGCAAGAUUAAAACUCAAAGGAAUUGACGGGGCCCCGCACAAGCAGCAGAGCAUGCGGCUUAAUUCGACGCAACGCGAAGAACCUUAACAAAGCUUGACAUAUAGGGAAAAGCCA